GUCCCCGUAGCUCAAUGGAUAGAGCGUUGGCCUCCGGAGCCAAAGGCUGUGAGUUCGACUCUCACCGGGGAUA
rnacentral:tRNA from 1 species